CGGUUUGGUUUAACAGCAAUCCCAGAACCUGGAAUUAUGGGGGUUCCAGAAGCAGAAUCUGGAAUUGCUGUUGGCAGGAGACGGGAUGAUCCUUAAAUCCCCUCCCAGCCCAGGCCAUGCCAGCAUUCCAGGACUCCAUGAGAGGUGUGCAGGAAGAGCAGGACUCCCAAGACAGAAUUGUGAGGAGACGUUUCCUCCAGCCCAUCCCUUAUUCAGAGCCAGCCCUUUCCUCUCCCUGUGUCCGGCAGCUCCGGCUGUGAGUGACCUUUCCAGGGUCACCGUGGUGACAUCGGGGCCAAUGUCCAGGCAGGGCAGUGGCCGCAGUCCCGGGACAGCCGCGGUGGCACCAUGAGGCUGUGGCUGCUCUGCGCCGUGGCCGUGGCCAUGGCCGGAGUGGCCGGAGCUGACCACGGCGACUCCGGGAUGGCGGCAGAGAGGAGAGAGGGCCAGCGGCGGCCGCACAGACCCUGCUCCGGCUGCUUCUCGGUGCUGAGCGAGGAGUCGCAGUCGAUGCCCUGGAAUUCCCGGGAGGAGGAUGCGGCUCAGCUGGGCAGGCGGGCUCGGAGCAGGAAGGGACUGGAGGCCAGAGCCAGGAGGGAGAGCCUGCAGCCGUCCCAGCCUGCCGGACACCCCGGGCGCAUCCUGCUGCUGUGACCGGUGACAGCGGAACCCCGGCAGGAGCCCGGGACCGGCAGGGACCCCCCGGCAGCCCCCGCGGGACGUUUCAGGAGUGACCGAGCAGCCAAGAGCGCGGUGGGAACAAUGCCAGAGCCCGGGAAUGCUGCUGGACACCGGGAGCAGCCCCACGCCAGCAGAACUCAGCCACCCACUCCCUGCUCUGCGCUGAGCCCCCCGCCUUUCCCACCCCCCAAAAUGCUUCUGGGGCAGCCGCCCCCGCUUUGCCAAGCCCCCAAAUAAAGCUGGCACACCAGAGGGAGCA
rnacentral:lncRNA from 1 species